GACGAACGCUGGCGGCGUGCUUAACACAUGCAAGUCGAACGGAAAGGCCCUGCUUUUGUGGGGUGCUCGAGUGGCGAACGGGUGAGUAACACGUGAGUAACCUGCCCUUGACUUUGGGAUAACUUCAGGAAACUGGGGCUAAUACCGGAUAGGAGCUCCUGCUGCAUGGUGGGGGUUGGAAAGUUUCGGCGGUUGGGGAUGGACUCGCGGCUUAUCAGCUUGUUGGUGGGGUAGUGGCUUACCAAGGCUUUGACGGGUAGCCGGCCUGAGAGGGUGACCGGCCACAUUGGGACUGAGAUACGGCCCAGACUCCUACGGGAGGCAACAGUGGGGAAUAUUGCACAAUGGGCGGAAGCCUGAUGCAGCAACGCCGCGUGCGGGAUGACGGCCUUCGGGUUGUAACCGCUUUCGCCUGUGACGAAGCGUGAGUGACGGUAAUGGGUAAAGAAGCACCGGCUAACUACGUG
rnacentral:rRNA from 1 species